CAUUGUCCGGGGCCUGUGUCGUAGGUGUUGUCUACCAGAAGUCAUUCUGCGAUGGAUGCAGGUCUUGGUAUCUGUAGCGGAGUCUGGUGGCCCUCCUGAAAGCCAUGAUGAUCUGAUUGAAUUGAUCACUUCGCCUGAAACAAGCUUACUUCAUCUGUUUAGUCAGCAACACUUGCAGGAAUUUUUGUU